ACAGGAAUGCUCCAAAAUGGGAAGAAGUUUGAUUCAUCCAGAGACAGAAACAAACCUUUCAAGUUCAGAAUUGGCAAACAGGAAGUCAUCAAAGGUUUUGAAGAGGGUGCAGCCCAGCUGGGUCCUCUUUCUCCUCUCCCCAUCUGCCCCCAUCCCUGCUAGAUGAGCUUGGGGCAGAGGGCGAAGCUGACCUGCACCCCUGAUGUGGCAUAUGGAGCCACGGGCCACCCCGGUGUCAUCCCUCCCAAUGCCACCCUCAUCUUUGACGUGGAGCUGCUCAACUUAGAGUGAAGGCAGGAAGGAACUCAAGGUGGCUGGAGAUGGCUGCUGCUCACCCUCCUAGCCUGCUCUGCCACUGGGACGGCUCCUGCUUUUGGGGCUCUUGAUCAGUGUGCUAACCUCACUGCCUCAUGGCAUCAUCCAUUCUCUCUGCCCAAGUUGCUCUGUAUGUGUUCGUCAGUGUUCAUGCGAAUUCUUGCUUGAGGAAACUUCGGUUGCAGAUUGAAGCAUUUCAGGUUGUGCAUUUUGUGUGAUGCAUGUAGUAGCCUUUCCUGAUGACAGAACACAGAUCUCUUGUUCGCACAAUCUACACUGCCUUACCUUCACUUAAACCACACACACAAGGUGCUCAGACAUGAAAUGUACAUGGCGUACCGUACACAGAGGGACUUGAGCCAGUUACCUUUGCUGUCACUUUCUCUCUUAUAAAUUCUGUUAGCUGCUCACUUAAACAAUGUCCUCUUUGAGAAAAUGUAAAAUAAAGGCUCUGUGCUUG
rnacentral:lncRNA from 1 species